UAUUUGAAUGCGCGGUUCAAACCCAUAGAAACUCACACUACUGAAAUUAAGUACGUAAUUAAGGGUUAUUACCUAUUCAUUCACACUAUUUAGCGUGGUAGUAUGUAGGGUGGUGAACCUGGACCUGUAUACGCCUGAUUUAUGGUGAUCAGUAAACGGUUUAAAAAUAGCUGGCGGUCGAUUUCCUGUUUAAUUUAAACACAAACAGGCUGCUGAUUGGCUGCUGGUUUCCUGUCACGGCACAAGCGGUGAACUCUCUCAGCCAAUGCGGUGACAGCGCGCUUCGAGCCGGCUACAGCACGCUACUCGAGCCCGGGGAUUCGAAAAAGCUUCGCGAGGCCUGGUGAAGCCAAACCAGUUGCGCCGAAAAUGCGCAUACUACCGCCACUAAACAGUAAACUAGAGUCCAGGAUAGAAAACUCUUCUGACAGAUGGAUGGAUGGAUGGAUGGACCUUCAAAAGAAACAGCUGAAAACAGACGUCCAGAAUAAACUAUGU